GACGAACGCUGGCGGCGUGCUUAACACAUGCAAGUCGAACGAUGAAGCCGGAGCUUGCUCUGGUGAAUUAGUGGCGAACGGGUGAGUAACACGUGAGUAACCUGCCCUUGACUCUGGGAUAACUGCGGGAAACUGUAGCUAAUACCGGAUACGACCCUCGGAGGCAUCUCCUGGGGGUGGAAAGAAUUUCGGUCAAGGAUGGACUCGCGGCCUAUCAGCUAGAUGGGGAGGUAAAGGCCCACCAAGGCGACGACGGGUAGCCGGCCUGAGAGGGUGACCGGCCACACUGGGACUGAGACACGGCCCAGACUCCUACGGGAGGCAGCAGUGGGGAAUAUUGCACAAUGGGCGCAAGCCUGAUGCAGCAACGCCGCGUGAGGGAUGACGGCCUUCGGGUUGUAAACCUCUUUUAGCAGGGAAGAAGCGAAAGUGACGGUACCUGCAGAAAAAGCACCGGCUAACUACGUGCCAGCAGCCGCCGUAA
rnacentral:rRNA from 1 species